rnacentral:rRNA from 1 species
ACGCUCGACACCUACGGGAGGCAGCAGUCGGGAAUAUUGCGCAAUGGAGGAAACUCUGACGCAGUGACGCCGCGUAUAGGAAGAAGGUUUUCGGAUUGUAAACUAUUGUCGUUAGGGAAGAGAAAGGACAGUACCUAAGGAGGAAGCUCCGGCUAACUACGUGCCAGUAGCCGCGGUAAUCUGAGCGGGCUGGCAAGGC